rnacentral:rRNA from 1 species
GAUGAACGCUGGCGGCGUGCCUAAUACAUGCAAGUCGAGCGAACAGACGAGGAGCUUGCGCCGCGCACGUGAGGCGCGGGGGUGUGAGAAACACGUGUAUAACCUACCUAUAAGUCUGGGAUAACUUCGGGAAACCGGAGCUAAUACCGGAUAAGAUACUGAACCGCAUGGGUGAAUAGUGAAAUACGGCUGUUCGGUCACUUAUAGAUGGAUCCGGGCCGUAUUAGCUAGUUGGUAAGGUAACGGGUUACCACGGCAACGAGGCGUAGGCGACCUGAGGGACUGGUCGGCCACCCUGGAGCUGGGCCGGGGUCAAUACUCCUGCGGGACGGAGCAGUAGGGAAUCUUCCGCAGUAGUCGGAAGCCUGACGCAACAACGCCGAGUGAGUGGUGGAGGUCUUCGGAUCGUAAAACUCUGUUAUUAGGGAAGAACCAAUGUGUAAGUAACUAUGCCCGUAUUGACGGUACCUAAUAAGAAAGCAACGGCUAACUACGUG